rnacentral:rRNA from 1 species
CGUACACAAAAGCGCAUGUGUUGUGAGCUCGAUGAGUAGGGCGGGACACGUGGUAUCCUGUCUGAAUAUGGGGGGACCAUCCUCCAAGGCUAAAUACUCCUGACUGACCGAUAGUGAACCAGUACCGUGAGGGAAAGGCGAAAAGAACCCCGGCGAGGGGAGUGAAAAAGAACCUGAAACCGUGUACGUACAAGCAGUGGGAGCCCCACCACUAAGCCAGUGGUGAACUCCACAUACGCAUCCUUUGCUGAAGGUGCGGUUAACGGAGCGCAAGCGACGCCCAACACACAAAACAAGCGGUGAGUGCUUUGGGGUGGGGUGACUGCGUACCUUUUGUAUAAUGGGUCAGCGACUUAUAUUCUGUAGCAAGGUUAACCGUAUAGGGGAGCCGGAGGGAAA